GUUCUCCACGUAUUUCAUAAACCGAUCAGAAAGGAGAUAACCGUCGGCUCACGGUGCGGCAGUGUGGAGACCUGCCGUAAUGCCGGUAACGUUUUGCCCGGGACCGCGCGAGUGCAUGGAUUGAGGAUUCAGCAUGCACAGAGUCAGAACAUAAUGGCA
rnacentral:ncRNA from 1 species